AUACGGAGGAUCCGAGCGUUAUCCGGAUUUAUUGGGUUUAAAGGGUGCGCAGGCGGCCAUUUAAGUCAGCGGUUAAAUCGUGGGGCUCAACCCCAUUCAGCCGUUGAUACUGGGUGGCUUGAUUGCGGUCGAGGUUGGCGGAAUUCGUUGUGUAGCGGUGAAAUGCAUAGAUAUGACGAAGAACACCGAUUGCGUAGGCAGCUGACCAGACCGCAAAUGACGCUCAUGCACGAAAGUGCGGGGAUCGAACAGGAUUAGAUACCCUGGUAGUCCGCACAGUAAACGAUGAAUACUUGUUUUCGGCGAUAUAAUGUCGGAGGCAAAGCGAAAGCGAUAAGUAUUCCACCUGGGGAGUACGCCGGCAACGGUGAAACUCAAAUGAAUUGACGGGG
rnacentral:rRNA from 1 species